UUUCCGUAGGUGAACCUGCGGAAGGAUCAUUCAUAAUAAAGUGUUUUAUGGCACUUUUUAAAAAUCCAUAUCCAGCUUGUGUGCAAUGUUAGAUCUCGUCAAUCUUGGCGAGAUUUUUAUACAUCAACUCAUUCUUUAACUAAUUUGUCUGAAAAAUAUUAUGAAUACUUAAUUCAAAAUACAACUUUCAACAACGGAUCUCUUGGCUCUC
rnacentral:misc_RNA from 1 species